AUGGCAACGUACCUACCUCUUGGAACACCCACUUCUACAAGAAACUGGACCUUGAAAAGAAGCUACAACCCCUGCCCAGAACACCUAACCACUCAGCCGCCCCCACCCCCCCAGGGCUUGGGAACCCCAUGCCACACCUUUAAAUGUCUUGGGAGGCCUUCUUAGUCGCUGUCUUCCUCCCCCAUACAGCUUUGAGAGAGCUGCCAGGUGGGGGGAGGGGUCUUUGAAUCUUUUCUGGUGGGGCCAGAAUGGCCCAGACCCCACGCACUUGGCAAGCGCAGAGAGGAAACCGCCCCAAUGCUCAUCCGGGAUAAGGAAGGCUUAAUAGUCUUUUUAGCACUGGGGAGUUAAGGUGGCCUUGGAGGUUCCCUAGCAACUGUACACAAGAGGAGACACCCACUAAUACUUGAAUGCAACCAUGGAGAUUACUGAGUACUGCCUGCCUCUGCGGAGUCUCACAGCUUUUGCAGCAGGACGGAGGCUCUUUCCCAGCUUCUUGGUGCUGUGUCUGUCUGUGGGCUCUGGGCCAUUCUGUCCUAACCAGGAGAUGUGCUGAGGAUACAGGAGGCAGAGGCCCUCCCUGGGAAUCUGCUGGAGAGCCACACAAGGACAGAGAGGGACCACUCAGUGCCCCUUGGCAACUGGGGAGGAAGGAAUGAGAAAAGCUUCCCAGGCCCGGGGAUACCCCCGUUGAUACCCCCCAAAGCCCGGCAGAUGCAAGCCCCAGUCCCACUUGAAGACACCUGAAGUGUCUCCUCUGAUGUAACACACGGUCGCCUCCCAGAGGAGAGAACGCAUGUAAGCAAUGGAGGAAGGUGCUCCAGUUACAGACGCCCAGCUCGGAUCGGCAGACUUGGCCCUACCCCACAUCCCAGUGAGCCAGACCAUGGAUCAAGAAAUCCCUAAGCAGAAGGGACAAGACAGAUGGGGGGAGCUCGAUGAGGAGGGAAGGCACCUCCAGAGCGCUGAACUAAGGAGGGGAGGAUGGUCUCAUAGCCAUGGCAGUGAAGAGGGAUGCUGAAGAGCUGCCUCCCUUGGUAACCGUGGACUACUCCACGACACUGUAACAAACUCAUGGUCUCCUAGGACUGCACGGAUAUCCCAAUGCCGCUCAGCAUGGCUCUCUAGAACUUUGCGGCAGCAGGGACAGAACUCGGAACCUCCAGCUGCACAGGGACCGGCCAUUUGAGCUCAAAGGAGAAUCUCCACAGUCGGUACCCCUUCUAUCUUCUCCCUAGGCUGCAGCCAUCCACUAGAGGGCAAUGGAGUCACACUCAUUAACUGUUAGCACCACCAGUAGAAUCAACCACUAUUAAUUAAUCGACAGGGCAAAUCCUGAAGGGAGGAGAUGGGGGUGCUCAGCAGCUCUCUGGGUUUGGCUAAGGCUAGCAGCGCAGAGCCUUCACCCGCUGCUCUGUUCUGAUCCCAUUUAGCAGAGAACAGUGGUUCCCAUACUCAUGAGCAAGAUUACAAUAAUGCUCACCGGCCUGCCAGGGUGAUAGGAGGUUACAGUAUAAAGCACACUGCUGUCCUUGGAUCAAAUUUGUUGUUGAUUAUUACUGUUAAUUGAAAAUGUUAAUUAAGUCGAGACAGAACCACCACCCUUGCAACAAGCCACUGGACCCCACUCCCAGAUUCUGUGCAUUGCCAUUCCCCUGACCCUCUCUUUGAGGUGUGUUCAGUUCCCAUGACAGUACUCAAGGGUCCCACAGUUUCACAGCCAAAGAAUCCACUCAUUGCCACAGAAAUAUUG